UCUGGAGAGACUAAAGGGGAACAGAGGACAGGCAGACUCACUAUUCUACAAAAUAAUUUCCAGCCCUGACCUGAACUGCUCCUACAUCUCCUCUGUGCUUGGAAGAAACCUCGAACCACACCAUGACUGCUUCCCAGUCUCUUGCACCCAUCCCUAUAGCUGUGUGGUCACCACUGCCAGGCAAGGGGAGACUACAGAAGUCACCAUGGCCCUUGGGCUGCCCCUCUUGCCUGUUUCACACUCAAAUGUGGAGAUGAGCUGGUGCCUUCAUGUUCUCCUGGGGAUGGACACAUGCUUCUACUUCAGCUUUGGCAGCCCAUUGCAGUGGGAGUUUCCCAGCGUACAAGAUUUAUCCUUGCCACCCCCUGCCCUGUUUGUUUGGAGUCAGGAAUAAGAUCUCAACUGUAUUUCUGAGGCCUUUAUCAGAGAAUAAUGUUUUUCUCACUGCUGGCAGGGCUGGAAAAUUAUAGUUGCCACUGUAGUCAGGAGGGGUUUGGAGAUACUCAGAGCCACUCUAGAUGGACCCAGAGGUGUGGGAUGCCUAACUGGGGAGUCUGAAAGUCAGACAUCUGAAAUCGAGCUGGUCACCCUAGUCACUUAUUUAUACAUAAGAUAAAGCUCUCAUUUCACAUGUUUUCCUCUGGCACAGAAGACCCAGGUGGUUCAGCUGUUAAGUGAUUUAUACUGCAGCCACCAGUGAGUCAAAGUCUUCCAGAGAUGAUGAGUUUGGCAAAAUUUACUUUUGAUCUUUCGUCAGACUGAUAAACUGCCUUUGCAGGGAAGGCUGACCUCAGGAGUGCUCAGGAGUGCAUGGCAUUAAAAUCCUUCUGCUAUUUAUUGCCCUGCUGACUGAUGGCAGAGAAAACACAUGGUGAUUUCUGCUUUGGUUUCCUCAGUUGCACAACACCCUACUAGUUCUUUAGGAUUACAGUAGCUGAGUUCUUUGAUGUUGCAACUUGAGGCUAUUGUAGGUUUGGUUUACUCUAUGGUUUUAACUCUUCUGGAAGGCUCCAUGCAGAUUACAAGAGCAGGAUUACUUCAGGAACCCUUCUCUCUGAUGAGAAAAUGUGCUCAGCAGGCCCUGCCUCUUCAGGCAGAAGACAAUAGGUUUGCUCGGCAGUAUCUGAAUGUUUAUCAGCCAUUUCAAGCAGCCUGCAAACACCAAAGGACUGAGCUACCCUGCCAGAAAGCUCUUCCUGUGGCAUCACGUGUAAGUUUUAUCCAUUAACGUACAGCUAGAUGUGGUGCUAGGAAGCCAUAAACAUCUAUGGGCAUCACAAGUGAAAAAGGGCCCCAAAUUGUUUCCCAGACAGCAUAGAGAUUUCUGGAAAACCUACUCCAAAUGUAACCCAGGUAGAGUGCCUGCUGCUGCACUGCUUCCCAGUGUAACCCUUACUGCUUUGAAGGGUGGAUAGGCUGAAAGACAGGGUAAAUAUGCUGCCCUGUUUAGGUCUUUGUAACUUUUGGAUGGAUUAAACCAUGCUCAGCACGUUCUGCCUCGCCCUGCCCCUCCUCCUGUAUUGACUUCCUUCAUGUGGGGUAGGAGAGCUUUUGUUCACCUGGGAGCCAUAACCCUGGCCCCCCCUGCCCUGCCUGCCUUGGAGCUCAGCCCAUGCACUGC
rnacentral:lncRNA from 1 species